AUGACAUCCAAACGACACAAAAAAAAGCAAUUGAUAGCAAAGCAUUAUCUGCACAUGAAAUUUUGGAUGACUACUGAUUAUGGAAGGCACCCAGAUUACCAUAAAAAGUUAGAUGUGGAGCAACUAGCAAAUUCUAUUCGUAGUUGGUCUGGUAUCAAUAUUUCAACAUUUAAAUCGGUACGAGCACUUUUACAAACCAUGGAUGAAUUCAUUCUAUUCACAUUGGACCAAGAUACCAGAACAGUGUACAUUUUGGACCCUACUCCUAUUAAUCCAAUGUACCGAUACAACCCACUCGCAAAAUAUAUGAAAAAAAUUAUAUGGAUUUCCGAACACUUACAAAAAGCAAUGUCAAAAGCAUGCCCUGGGUCUAGAUGGAACGAGGAUAUUCGCCUAUGGCAACAUAAAAUCCUAGAUGAUAUUCCAGUUUACAACAGGGAAUUGUCUGGUUAUCUUGUUCCCCUAUUCAUGUCCACAUGGGAAGACGAAAGACCACAUUUGCCAUUUUUAAAGGAUGGAUAUGAACUCAGAAAACUAAUUUUGGGCCAAGUGCUAACAUUCAAGGACAAUGAAUGUGAAGAUAACAUGCCUGCUGGUGUACUGGAAUUCAUCAAUUGUAUUAGGAAAAUCCAAAGUAAAACUGGGAGCUCAAUCAGUGGAAGGUGA
rnacentral:rRNA from 1 species